GGGGCUGUAGCUCAGUUGGCAGAGCGCUGCGUUCGCAAUGCAGAGGUCAGGGGUUCAAUUCCCCUCAGCUCCA
rnacentral:tRNA from 1 species